GACGAACGCUGGCGGCGUGCUUAACACAUGCAAGUCGAACGAAGUGGCGAACGGGUGAGUAACGCGUAAUCAACCUGCCCUUCAGAGGGGGACAACAGUUGGAAACGACUGCUAAUACCGCAUACUGAAGGCGGGGAUUGCGGCUGAUUAGCUAGUUGGGGGGGUAACGGCCCACCAAGGCGAUGAACAGUAGGCGGGUUGAGGGGAUGAACGGCCAAAUUGGGAAUGGGACAAGGUCCCGAAUCCUACGGGAGGGAGCAGUGGGGGAUCUUCCGCAAUGGACGAAAGGCUGACGGAGCCAAGGCGCGUGGGUGAUGACGGCCUUCGGGUUGGAAAGCUCUGUUAAUCGGGAAGCGGUACCGGAAUAGAAAGCCACGGCUAACUACGUGCCAGCAGCCGCGGUAAUAC
rnacentral:rRNA from 1 species